GGACGCGGGUUUGCUUUUGAAUUAUUUCAAUAAAUAGAACACAAGUUGAAGAAAACCCCAACGGCUGGUCUUCGUAGUUCAAAACAUUUUGGGUUAAAAACGAUUAAACAAUUGCCAACUAAUGAAAUGGCAAAUCUGACAGCGGAAGACUUAAAUGGACGAAUAGUGCGGGAAAUAUGAUACCGGAAAAUGUGCGCACCUCAUGGUUGGCAGAUCCGACCUGUCCACGCAUUCCGGAUAUGCGUAAUCAUCGUGGUGUUUGCAGCAGUGCUUUCAGCUCCAGUUCCGGUAUUAUGGGGACUGCACACGUUAAAUGUCACCAACAUGAGCGUCACCGUUUGUGAGAAGGACGAAAGAUUUUUGAAAACUGGGUAAAUCGAACGUUUUUCGAGCAAAAGCAUAGAUUACGAUCUGAUCAUGAAAAGAAAAUCAGAUGACACUAAAACAAACGUUGAAACGUCAGAAGAUAAUUCCAGCCAUGUGUCCGACGACAAUAAUGUCAUUAUCCACAUAACAAAUCAACCGAAAAAAUCUGCAGAUAGUGUUCAACUUGAGAACGUUCAGAACGUUUCAAUAAGACACAACCCAGAGAUCGGACCAAAUGCGAACGAGGACAAUAUGUGUGACAUUAUGAACAGUACCUCAUUGGAAGUUAAAUCGAAACGAACAUUUAACAAACAAGUUCGGCUUCGCAGAACAACGAAAGUUACGUUAACGCUCAGUAUUAUAUUCAGCUUAACGUUUUUCUUGUAUGCAGGACUGCACAUGUUUCUUGAAAAAGACGAAAAAAAACUUCAUAAAAUGUCUUAUUCAAACAAGGGUCUCUUUUUCUUCGGCUUAAGGUUUGUGUUCAUAAAUCACGUGAUAAAUCCGUUUGUUUACUGAAUGUUGGAUAGGGAAUUUAGAACUAUUUUAAACAAAUAAAAUCAAUCGCUCUCUCGUUUUGUUUGCAUAAAUGAUAAUACGUGAUUAGCAGAUUGUGUAUCUUCGUCAAUAGAAUUAAGGCAUUAUAAUAUUGGAAAUAGUUCGUCAAUUGAAACCAAGCUACGAUUCUCGUUACUUUAAUACAUUUUUUUACAAAUUGAUAUAAAAAUAAGGAACAUAAUUAAGAAAACAUUCAGUGGCAAUAUAUAUUUUUUUUAUUUCAUUAAAAUGCUAUUGAAAUGUUAUGUUCAUAACAUAAUUCAUCAAAUAACAUUAACUUAUUGUUAUUUUGUUAUAGAUUAAUUGACAUUUAUUUUGUGUGACUUGAUGCAUAUUUAACUCAUGGGUUCAUAAGACUUAAGCAGAUGUUAUAUACCCUCUGUAGAUAAGUGAAAUAACACAAUGGAACUCACAUGUUCUUUUGGAAGUCGACCAUGGUUAAUAUAUGUUUUAAUUUACCCAUACAUUAUAAAGAGUUUAACCAAAGAAUUUCGUUAAGAAAAUGACGUCAUUUCGUCAAAAACAUGACGUCAUUUAACAUAAACAGUGAAAAUUAUCGAGAAUUUUCACUGAUAAUUUUCAUCGUUUGAAACAGUGAAAUUAUCAGUUUUAAUUCACUGAUAUUUCCCUAAAAACCACCGGAAAGCAUAAAAAAAGGUGUUGUUUUAUGGAAUAGUUUAUUCCUAGGACUUGAAAUCAUACUAGAACUACUCCGAAAGACGACAGUUUUGUAUGUGUUCGUACGGCGGUACAAACGGUGCAACUUUCGGGUUUUUGCGUUAUGUUUGGCCGUCUUAGACAUGCUAGGGGUGCUAAUAGCUAUGCCCGGUGAGAUAGUGACCCUGGUGUUUUGGUAUAUUUACCCGCCGAUUCCUGCUUUCUGCAAGAUGAAAGCGUUCUUUAACAUGUUCACUGUGUCCGACGAGGCGUUCUGUUUAUUCCUUAUCGCGGUCGACAUAUACCGGAAGAAAAGGGCCCCACAUGGUUGGCAAAUCAGCAAACGCAUAGCGUUUGCUUUAUGUGUUUUAAUUAUCGUCGCGGGAGGUAUUUUUUCAUUGCCAGUGCUCUUUCUAUGGGGAAUUCGUUCAUUAAUGAUAACACUACGAAUGUAACAGUAACCGUUUGUGAAAAAUGACGAACGUCAUGUAAACAGUGAGAAACAUCCAUUGUUCAUUUCCGUGAUCAUGGCCAGUAUUGUGGCUGUUCUAACAGCAACAAUUGCUUUGUAUAUACCGAGAACGUGCACUAUUUUGUCCGGUGAAUCUAAAGAUUCUGUAACAAUGAAGAAAAUGAAAGGACAAAAAAAGACAGAACCUAAAGAUGUCACAAGUAUUCCUUAAAUUCAAGUUUCAGAAAAUAUUGACAUCACGGAUACAGAGUUCCGCGAUAAAGAAACUAAAUCGAACACAUCAGAUAUGCCUGCAUCUAUCAAGAUACAUCAAAUCGCUGUGAGAAUAAAUACUAUUUCUGAAUCAGACAUUACUAGUUUUGAGUUAAAAGAAAUAUCAACUCUUUGUUUGGAUACAUCUACGUUUAAGGAUGAGACCUCAAGUAUGACUGAAGAAGAAAUAUUAAAGAACCAAUAGUUACCACAACUAACUUUCCUUUGGAUAAGAACACGUGCAUAACUGACUUCGAAAGAAAUCUUAAACACGAUAUUCUGACUACGGAAAAGCAGUCAUUAAGAAAACGCCCGUUAAGAAAUAGAGCACGUAGAAUUACACGUGUUCCACUUUUAUUGAGUAUAAUAUUUAAACUCACCCUAGUAUUAUAUUUAAGCAUGCUUUUUGCACUCGGACGAGAUUCCAACUUAGUCCAAGAACUAUCUGACAUGAGUAAUGCAUUUUUUUUGGGGCCUUAGACUAGUGUUCAUCAACCACGUUAUAAAUCCAUUUGUGUAUUGGGUAUUAGAUCGAGAAUUUAAGAAAGCCGUGAUGCAGAUCUUUAUAAACCAUGCAACAGAUGGUCCUGAUAUUUUAUGUCGCUUCCAGAUAACACUCGUAAGCAAUUUUAAAUGAUAUUUAUGAGCCUAAAUGAACAGUUACAGUGGACAUUCCAGUAUUAUAAUGUUUCUUCUCUUGUAUACCGGUAAAAAGAAUAACGCACAUAUUUUUUUGACGAAUCUCGUUGUUAUAAAAUGACGAUAGAUUUAAACAACACCAAGCUUUAUACUUUUUAACCAACACAAACAGAAAUAUAAGCUUGCAAAAAAUAUAUAAGCUGCAAAAUAUAUGAAGAUGCACUAUACUAUUUAUUAUUAUUGUAAAUUGUAAAUUAUUGUAAAUUAAUAACUUAUUUAUACGGAUAUGAUGUCGUGUUUUAUUUAAUUUCUAAAAGAUUGCAUAUAUAUAUAUCUUUUUUUUCAAAGUAUGUUGACUAUUAUACAUAAGGCUGGUGUUUGAUAAAUUAUCUCUUUAUGUGUUUGGUUGUUUGCAACCGCCUCAGUAAUAGUGGUGUUAAUCUAAUUAUGUACUAUGUAAUCAACAAUGUUGCUCUGUUCAUUAUAUGUGUUAAUUGGGCCUGAAAUUACCUUACUGUGCCUUAUUCUUGCAGUGCAUGACUAUGAUAUGAAAAAAGAUGUUAUGUAUCUUUAUCAUAAAGACAAUAUGUAUUGGAACUCGUUUUGCUUUAAUUGCAUCGUGCCUCAGAAAGUGAUGGCUCUGGUGGUCCGGUCUGUUUAUAAUCAUAGAGCUAUAAAAUAGAAUUUAAAUUGAAAAUUUCUUACUUUAUUAUACUUUCUACUUUAUUUGAAUUGUGAUACUAUGAGGUUUAUUCCAACGCACACUUAAAUGAAUAAUAAAUAAUGCUGGACCAAAUGUUAGGAUUAGAGCGGUUGCAUCAGUUUUUAACAUGUUUUAAUGUGUUUUUCUUGUCUAGAGCAUUUGUUU